rnacentral:lncRNA from 1 species
GCAAAUCAAAAGUAAUAUAGGGAAAUCAAAGUAAUUCUAAAACAGAGCAAAAAGGUUACUAUCAUUGUGAAAGGUGACUUUUUCAUAUAUUUACAAUGAUCUGAUAAAAGUAAAUCAUAUUAUUGAAUAAAAAAUUUGAUGGAUGAAAAUAUGCAAAUAUACUACAAUGUAACAUCUGAAAAUUGCAUCAAACAAUUCUUCACAAGCCUUAAUUUUUUCAGCUUUAUAUGGUACCUAAAGUGUCUAUUUAGUAUGGAAGAAUGACAAACUAUCAAUGUAGUUAACACUUAUUUUGGACAAUCAACAAGUCUGGGAGCUACAACUACAAUUAUCUAGUUGUAGGAUCAUUAUUAAAAUACUACAAAACAGGAGUAGAGAAAGUACGAUUAACCAUAUCCUCUGUAGAGCAGCCCUUAGUCCAUUGUAUAAGAUCUCAUGAUGCUAUUGAUGUUUGCUAAUAGAAAAUGAAAAGGUAAAACCCAACUCUCUGUCCACCAAGUGAAAAAUAAAAUCAUCGCAUUGAGUAGCAAGAAAUAUGAUUAAAAUGCAAAAUCAUUCUUGGCAUAAGGCACUGGAGCAUAGAUUGAUAAGUAAAUCAUAGGAAUUGAAAAGAAACGUUGCAAAAAGCAUAGC